rnacentral:rRNA from 1 species
GCUGAAGGGCCCUCGUAGACUACGAGGUUGAUAGGCCGGGAGUGGAAGCGCGGCAACGCGUGGAGCUGACCGGUACUAAUCGCCCGUGAGGCUUGACCAUA